rnacentral:rRNA from 1 species
GACGAACGCUGGCGGCGUGCUUAACACAUGCAAGUCGAACGGAAAGGCCCCCACCUUGGUGGGGGUGCUCGAGUGGCGAACGGGUGAGUAACACGUGGGUGAUCUGCCCUGUACUUCGGGAUAAGCUUGGGAAACUGGGUCUAAUACCGGAUAGGACCAUGGUUUAGUGUCUCGUGGUGGAAAAAUUAUUGUUUUGGUGCAGGAUGAGCUCGCGGCCUAUCAGCUUGUUGGUGGGGUAAUGGCCUACCAAGGCGUCGACGGGUAGCCGGCCUGAGAGGGUGGACGGCCACAUUGGGACUGAGAUACGGCCCAGACUCCUACGGGAGGCAGCAGUGGGGAAUAUUGCACAAUGGGCGCAAGCCUGAUGCAGCGACGCCGCGUGGGGGGUGACGGCCUUCGGGUUGUAAACUCCUUUCGUUAGGGACGAAGCCACACCUUUUUUGG